UUCAUUAUAUAUAUACCCACAACAAGAUAUACAUACACAGAUUCACACCUCAUAUAGAACAACAAUAUACAAACCCACAUCAUCAUCUCCAUAUUUCUCUUCUACACAAUACACCAUUAACCUCACCAUUAACGGAUAGCUUCCUCACCAUUCCAACAGCUCACACAUCUCUCUCGCAGAUCUAUGCACGAAAUCACAUGCGUAUAAGGUGAGUAAACUAAAAAAUGAAGAGAGCUUCGAGGGAGUUCCAGUCAGUUUCUUCGAGAUUUUUCGGCUAAGUUUUGCCGGAAUCAGUUAGGCUCGUCGUUCGCUAGUUCCAAUUCCAAAAUCUCCAUUUUUUUCUCUCUCGUCGUUUAUUUUUUUAUAUUUCCAGGCAAACCCAAUUGGUAAACGUCAAAAGUAACUGGAAUCUUCCUUGAUUCAUCUUCUUUUCCGCCACCUGAGCUCACCGAAGCUCGGGUACACUAUCCUUUGGCUCUGUCGUGUAUUGGAGUUUUGUGUUCGUAGUUCUGUUCGAAAUUAUCGAUUUAGGAGGUCGAAUUGAGUUUAUUCUUGCUAGUUUGGAACUUGUCUGGAUCGAUUCACGACCCUCAGGUGAACAACAGUAACCUUACCCCUUUUUGUUCAUCAGAAAUCGGUUUCGAGACCAGUCAACGUUGGGUACUGGGUUUGGAUUUGAGUCAGUCAGUUCUUUGUGCUCUAUUUUGGAUUAGUUUUUCUCUAUACCAAGUUGGAUUCAUCGCAAUCGAGGUUUUCUAUUCGAGAUUCCAAGUGCGGGUCUUCUUUAAUAUUAUUACCCACUGAAAUCUAUUAUUGGAAGGACUCUGCUACAGAGAAUGAGGAACGUGCAGGUUCUCCAUGAAUAUCGAAGUGCAAAUGCUAUUGCAGAUAGGCUAGCAAAGGAGGGCAAUAAGUUAGCUCAGGACUCUUUUUUUUAAAGAAUGGACAGUUCCCCCGUUGUUUAUUCGGAACCAGCUGGAAGUAGACAAGGAGGGAACUCCUUCUGCUGUUCUAUGUCCAUCCACCUCGUUGGAUGUUUGUAAUCGUACUAGUUGUCAUGUUAUAACUGCUUGUAGCUUUAGGGAUGAUCCCUCCGAAACUGGUCACUUUGGCUCCUAUGUGUACU